rnacentral:tRNA from 1 species
AAAGGGAGACCUAAUUCCAGUAGGAGACGAAAAAAAAGUAGUCCCUACCAAGAAUCAAUCCCAAAAGGUCGGAGCGAGGCAAAAUUGGCUUUCAAACUAGGUUCUGGGUUCACACAAGACCUGAAUCAGGAACAAGGGCUAUUAGCUCAGGUGGUUAGAGCGCACCCCUGAUAAGGGUGAGGUCCCUGGUUCGAGUCCAGGAUGGCCCACCUGCACAGGUGGAAGAAAGAAAAGAAGCUCCGAAUCAGCACCUUAUCUUACUUAUAUAGUAAGAGAGAAUGCUGGCUCUGAGUACAGAGUCCAGAGGAACCUUGAAAACUGCAUAGAGCUAGGUGAAAAAACCAAAAAAGAAGACCGCAAG